rnacentral:tRNA from 1 species
UUAAUUGAAACCAAAAUAGAGGUAUAUUAUUGUUAAUAAUUUAAUUGAAUAAAAAUUUUCCAAUUAAA